GCCGUACUCCCUCCAUCCCAUAAAAAAUAAUUUAGUACUAGAUGUGACACAUUCUAAUACUACGAAUCUAAAUAAUUUAGUACUAGAUGUGACACAUCCUAGUACUACGAAUCUGGACAUACCUUUGUCAAGAUUCGUUGUACUAUAAUAUGUCAUAUCCAGUUCUAGAUUUAUUUUUUUCGGGAUGGAGGAAGUAUAUA
rnacentral:misc_RNA from 1 species